rnacentral:rRNA from 1 species
CGCAUCUGUGCAUGCAGCAUAUCAAUAAGCGGAGGAAAAGAAACUAACAAGGAUUCCCCUAGUAACGGCGAGUGAAGCGGGAAGAGCUCAAAUUUGAAAUCUUAAAGGGUUUCCCUUUACGAAUUGUAGUUUAAAGAAGUGUUUUCUGUUGAGGUUUUGGUAAAAGUUCUUUGGAAUAGGACAUCAUAGAGGGUGAGAAUCCCGUAUUUGACCUUUACUUUCAACUUUGUGAUACACUUUCAAAGAGUCGGAUUGUUUGGGAAUGCAGUCCAAAAUGGGUGGUAAAUUUCAUCUAAAGCUAAAUAUUGGCGAGAGACCGAUAGCGAACAAGUACCGUGAGGGAAAGAUGAAAAGAACUUUGAAAAGAGAGUUAAACAGUACGUGAAAUUGUCAAAAGGGAAGCGUUUGACACCAGUGUUGUUUUUCUGAAAAUCAAUUAAAGAACUGUUUAUGCUAAGCUGUUUAGACUUUAUCAGCUAAUCUGCUUAGUUUUGAGCUUUUCUUUAAUGCACUUUUCAGUUAACAAGUCAACAUCAAUUUCUUUUGCUGUAAAAAAGCUUGAGGAAGGUGGCUUGAGAUUCGUCUUAAGUGUUUAUAGCCUCUUGCCUAUGCAGUCGGAGAGAUUGAGGUCUGCAGCGUAGAUCCUUCGGGGCUAAAUGCAUUUGUGCUAAGUUAUAGCAUUUUAUAGACAACUUGUUGACUAUGAUUUGUCUUGUAGCUUACUCGCUUAUGUUAUUUUACCUACGCUUAGGAUGUUGACUGAUAUGUAGUCGU